rnacentral:misc_RNA from 1 species
UCCGAGUUGACCCCGGCAGUCUCCUAUGAGUCCCCACCAUCACGUGCUGGCAACAUAGGACGAGGGUUGCGCUCGUUGCGGGACUUAACCCAACAUCUCACGACACGAGCUGACGACAACCAUGCACCACCUGUAUAGAGACCUUGCGGGGGGACUGUUUCCAGCCCUUUCCUCUAUAUGUCAAGCCUUGGUAAGGUUCUUCGCGUUGCAUCGAAUUAAUCCGCAUGCUCCGCCGCUUGUGCGGGUCCCCGUCAAUUCCUUUGAGUUUUAGCCUUGCGGCCGUACUCCCCAGGCGGGGAACUUAAUGCGUUAGCUGCGUCACGGAGACCGUGGAAAGGCCCCCACAACUAGUUCCCAACGUUUACGGGGUGGACUAC